AGACAGGCAGUAUGUAUAUGAAAUAAAUUCCUCUAUUCAAGCUAACAAAAAAUAUCUCAUCUACAUUUUGUUUAUCCAUGGAAAGAAACUGAGCAUGUCCUCUGCAGUUUUACUACAGGUCAUCUGAAGGGCAGCCCAUGGAUUCCUCUGAUCCAUGCAGACUUCCCAAGGGCCAAAGAACAAGGCCCGUUUGAUCCAGCACCUGCUGUGAGCCCAUCACUUGGAUACUUUUGCUGCAAAUUUUUACCAGACUGAACAGAGUAAUAUGUAAAGGGGGAAAAAAGCUCAAAGAGCAACAGGAAAAUCAGCAGGAAAUCAACAAAAAAUAUUAUUAAGAGCACUGAUCAAUCAUCUCAGCAUUAUUUUGCCCAAUAUGGUUGCACUUGCAAUAGACCAGCAAUUGGCUCCAGGACUGGUCUGUGAGUUUUUGCCUCAACAGAAUUUAGAAGUUCUAUUGUCAGAACUGUGCAUUCAACAAAGGACUAAUAUACAGAACCUACAAGGAACUCAAACAACUUAACAAAUAAAAGCAACUAACCACUUUAAAAAGUGGGAAAAGAACAUGAACAGUCAUUUCUCAAAAGAAAACAUACUAGCAGCCAGCAAACAUGUAAACAACUACCCAUCACUUAUUAUUAGAGAAAUGCAAAUUAAAACUACAAUGAGAUACCAUCUCACACUAGUCAGAAUAAUUACUACUAAAAAGUCAAAAAACAACAGAUGUUGGUAAGGAUGCAGAGAAAACGCUUAUACACUGUUGAUGAGAAUGUAAAUUAGCACAACAUUUAUGGAAAACAGUAUGGAGACUUCUCACAAAACUAAAAAUAAAACUACCAUUUGACCCAGCAACCCCACUACCAGGUACCUAGCCAAAGAAAAAGAAAUCGUUAAAUCAAAAAGACAUCUGCACUCGUAUAUUCAUAGCAGCACUAUUCACAAUACAAAGGUCAUGGAAUUAACCUAAGUGUCCAUCAGUGGAUGACUGGAUAAAGUGUAUGUGGUAUGUAUACAGCAUGGAAUACUAUGCAGCCAUGAAAAAGAAUUAAAUUAGUUUUUUGCAGCAACAUGGAUGGAGCUGAAGGUCAUUUUCCUAUGUGAAACAACUCAGAAACAGAAAAUCUAAUACUGCAUGUUCUCACUUAAAAGUGGGGACUAAAUAGUGGGUACAUAUGGAUGUAUAAAGGGAAAUAAUAGACACUGGUGACUCCUAAAGCAGGGAGGAUGAGAGGAGGUAAGGGCUGAAAAAUUACCUAUUGAGUACAAUGUUCACUAAUUGAGUGAUGGGUACAAUGGAAGCCUAAACCCCACCACUGCGAUAUAUCCAUGUAACAAACCUGCACAUACCACCUGAAUCUACAAAGAUUCUAAAAAAUUUAAAAAUAAGUUAUGUUAUUAAAUGAACUCACAUUUAAUACUGCUAUAGCUUGUUCAACUGACAUUUCUAUCAUUAUGUAAUGCCUCUCUUUAUUGCUGGUAAUUUCUUUGCCCUGAUAUUACUUUAUCUGAUAUUAAAUUACUCAGCUAUCUUUUGAUAAAUGUUUGAAUAGUAUAUCUUUUCUCUUUUCUUUUACUUUUACUCAACCUAUAUUAUCACAUUUAAUUGUCAACCCAGAGUCUUAUAGAGUAAUAUUCAAAAUGUUCUGUAUACAAUCCAAAAUUAUUCACCAUGUGAAAAACCAGAAAUAUCUCAACUCAAAAAGAGAAAUACAUUACCUGAAGUGAUAAACAACCCAAUUUUCCUGAUUUUAUCAUCAUACAUCGUAUACUUGUGUCACAUGUACCCAAUUAAUACUUAUAAAUGUUAUGUACCCAUAAAAAUUAAAAAGAAAAAAGAAAAAGACAAUCAACAGAUGCUGACUCUGUGAUGUCGUCAUUAAAUUUGGGCUUCUGCCA
rnacentral:lncRNA from 1 species